rnacentral:rRNA from 1 species
UAGGGAAUCUUCGGCAAUGGACGGAAGUCUGACUGAGCAACGCCGCGUGAGUGAAGAAGGUUUUCGGAUCGUAAAGCUCUGUUGUUAGAGAAGAACGUUGGUAGGAGUGGAAAAUCUACCAAGUGACGGUAACUAACCAGAAAGGGACGGCUAACUACGUGCCAGCAGCCGCGGUAAUACGUAGGUCCCGAGCGUUGUCCGGAUUUAUUGGGCGUAAAGCGAGCGCAGGCGGUUCUUUAAGUCUGAAGUUAAAGGCAGUGGCUUAACCAUUGUACGCUUUGGAAACUGGAGUACUUGAGUGCAGAAGGGGAGAGUGUAAUUCCAUGUGUAGCGGUAAAAUGCGUAGAUAUAUUGAGGAACACCGGUGGCGAAAGCGGCUCUCUGGUCUGUAACUGACGCUGAGGCUCGAAAGCGUUGGGAGCAACCAGG